AUUGAACGCUGGCGGCAGGCCUAACACAUGCAAGUCGAGCGAGCGGCGGACGGGUGAGUAAUGCCUGGGAAUUGCCCAGUCGAGGGCGAUAACCGUUGGAAACGACUGCUAAUACCGCAUACGAUUGGAUUGCCCAGGUGGGAUUAGCUAGUUGGUGAUGUAAUGGCUCACCAAGGCGACGAUCCCUAGCUGGUCUGAGAGGAUGAUCAGCCAAACUGGAAGUGAGACACGGGCAAGACUCCUGCGGGAGGCAGCAGUGGGGAAUAGUGCAAAAUGGGGGGAACCAUGAUGCAGCGAGGCCGCGUGUGUGAAAAAGGCCUUCGGGUUGUAAAGCACGUUCAGCGAGGAGGCGUUACUCGCAGAAGAAGCACCGUCUAACUCCGUGCCAGCAGCCGCUAAUUC
rnacentral:rRNA from 1 species